CCCUUAGAUGUUCUGGGCCGCACGCGUGCUACACUGAGUGGAUCAGCGGGUCAGGUUGCGCGAAAGUGUUUCCUAAUCUUUAAAUCCGCUCGUGAUGGGGAUUGACGGUUGCAAUUUUCCGUCAUGAACGAGGAAUACCUUGUAAGCGCGGGUCAUCAUCCCGCGCUGAAUACGUCCCUGUCCUUUGUACACACCGCCCGUCGCUCCUACCGAUUGAGUGGUCCGGUGAGGCUUUGGGAUCUGAGCGGAAAGAGCGUUUCGCUGUUUCUGCCCGGAAAACUCAGUCGAACCUUAUCAUUUAGAGGAAGGAGAAGUCGUAACA
rnacentral:rRNA from 1 species